rnacentral:rRNA from 1 species
AGUGAACGCUGGCGGUAGGCCUAACACAUGCAAGUCGAACGGCAGCACAGUAAGAGCUUGCUCUUACGGGUGGCGAGUGGCGGACGGGUGAGGAAUACAUCGGAAUCUACUUUUUCGUGGGGGAUAACAUAGGGAAACUUACGCUAAUACCGCAUACGACCUACGGGUGAAAGCAGGGGAUCUUCGGACCUUGCGCGAUUGAAUGAGCCGAUGUCGGAUUAGCUAGUUGGCGGGGUAAAGGCCCACCAAGGCGACGAUCCGUAGCUGGCCUGAGAGGAUGAUCAGCCACACUGGAACUGAGACACGGUCCAGACUCCUACGGGAGGCAGCAGUGGGGAAUAUUGGACAAUGGGCGCAAGCCUGAUCCAGCCAUACCGCGUGGGUGAAGAAGGCCUUCGGGUUGUAAAGCCCUUUUGUUGGGAAAGAAAAGCAGCAGGUUAAUACCCCGCUGUUCUGACGGUACCCAAAGAAUAAGCACCGGCUAACUUCGUG